GGCUCGUUGGUCUAGGGGUAUGGUUCUCGCUUUGGGUGUGAGAGGUCCCCGGUUCAAAUCCUGGACGAGCCC
rnacentral:tRNA from 2 species